GACGAACGCUGGCGGCGUGCCUAACACAUGCAAGUUGAGCGACGAACCAGGGCUUGCCCUGGGGCAAAGCAGCGAACGGGUGAGUAACACGUGGGUAACCUACCCCGAUAACCGGGACAACCCGAGGAAACUCGGGCUAAUACCGGAUGUGCUCACUGGACUUCGGUUCAGUGCGUAAAGGAAGCUUCGGCCUCCGUAUCGGGAGGGGCCCGCGGCCCAUUAGUUUGUUGGUGAGGUAACGGCUCACCAAGACCGCGAUGGGUAGCUGGUCUGAGAGGACGAUCAGCCACACUGGGACUGAGACACGGCCCAGACUCCUACGGGAGGCAGCAGUGGGGAAUCUUGGGCAAUGCGCGAAAGCGUGACGCAGCAACGCCGCGUGGGGGAAGAAGGCCUUCGGGUUGUAAACCCCUUUCAGGAGGGACGAAGGUUCGGCGGUGAAUAGCCGUCCGGACUGACGGUACCUCCACAAGAAGCCCCGGCUAACUACGUG
rnacentral:rRNA from 1 species